GAGUUUGAUUCUGGCUCAGGAUGAACGCUGGCGGCACGCCUAACACAUGCAAGUCGAACGGAGUUUAAGAGAGCUUGCUCUUUAAACUUAGUGGCGGACGGGUGAGUAACACGUGAGCAACCUGCCUUUCAGAGAGGGAUAGCUUCUGGAAACGGAUGGUAAUACCUCAUAACAUAUUGGUACGGCAUCGUAUUAAUAUCAAAGAUUUAUCGCUGAAAGAUGGGCUCGCGUCUGAUUAGCUAGUUGGUGAGGUAACGGCUCACCAAGGCAACGAUCAGUAGCCGGACUGAGAGGUUGAACGGCCACAUUGGGACUGAGACACGGCCCAGACUCCUACGGGAGGCAGCAGUGGGGAAUAUUGCACAAUGGGCGCAAGCCUGAAUGCAGCGAUGCCGCGUGAGGGAAGAAGGUUUUCGGAUUGUAAACCUCUGUCAUCGGGGACGAAAAUGACGGUACCCGAGAAGGAAGCUCCGGCUAACUACGUGCCAGCAGCCGC
rnacentral:rRNA from 1 species